AUUGAACGCUGGCGGCAUGCUUUACACAUGCAAGUCGAACGGCAGCGCGGGCUUCGGCCUGGCGGCGAGUGGCGAACGGGUGAGUAAUACAUCGGAAAGUGCCCAGUAGUGGGGGAUAGCUCGGCGAAAGCCGGAUUAAUACCGCAUACGACCUGAGGGUGAAAGCGGGGGAUCUUCGGACCUCGCGCUAUUGGAGCGGCCGAUGGCAGAUUAGCUAGUUGGUGGGGUAAAGGCCUACCAAGGCGACGAUCUGUAGCUGGUCUGAGAGGACGACCAGCCACACUGGGACUAGGACACGGCCCAGACUCCUACGGGAGGCAGCAGUGGGGAAUUUUGGACAAUGGGCGAAAGCCUGAUCCAGCAAUGCCGCGUGUGUGAUGAAGGCCUUCGGGUUGUAAAGCACUUUUGGCGGGAACGAAAAGGACUGUGCCAAUACCACGGUUCGAUGACGGUACCCGCAGAAUAAGCACCGGCUAACUACGUG
rnacentral:rRNA from 1 species